AAGGCCCUUACAAUCCUCGAUGAGAUUCCUGAUGGGCUUCACUUGACAAGAGCUUCACAAUUGAUAAGCUAUCACUAUGGAGUUCUAUUGGCAAAUCAAAGCAAGCACUCCUCAGAUCAGUUCGCAGCUUCACCUCUGACAAAUGUUGAAGACCUUCGCGAGUAGCUAGGGUUUCCACCAUUAAAGCUGAUUCAACACGGACUUGCUUUGCAAAGUCAUCGACGAGCACACCAUGAGCAUUUCUGUAUACUCCGGCAACUGAGGCCUCUGAAAUGCUGUCUAUCCAUGAUCCGUCGACGUGAAGCUUCCACGAGCCUUGGUUCGGCAGCCUCCACUUUGCAGGCUUCAUCCACAACCAACAAGGGAAUUGGAUUGUGUGCUUAAAAAACAAAGGAGUUCCUGGCUUUCCAUAUCAACCACAGGACGCUCACUAGUAAUUCUCGUGUAGGAAUUGUUGAUUCCCCAGUCAGUACUUCAAAUACCCAUUUGUCUAUUCUUAUAAUAUUCUGCGAAGACGUGUCAA